UACGGAGGGGGCUAGCGUUGUUCGGAAUUACUGGGCGUAAAGCGCACGUAGGCGGCUUUGUAAGUUAGAGGUGAAAGCCUGGAGCUCAACUUCAGAAUAGCCUUUAAGACUGCAUCGCUUGAAUCCAGGAGAGGUGAGUGGAAUUCCGAGUGUAGAGGUGAAAUUUCGUAGAUAUUCGGAAGAACACCAGUGGCGAAGGCGGCUCACUGGACUGGUAUUGACGCUGAGGUGCGAAAAGCGUGGGGGAGCAAACAGG
rnacentral:rRNA from 1 species